rfam:Butyrivibrio proteoclasticus strain P18 genome assembly, contig: Ga0066879_123
UGUAGCAGGUCCCAAGGGUUGGGCUGUUCGCCCAUUAAAGCGGUACGCGAGCUGGGUUCAGAACGUCGUGAGACAGUUCGGUCCCUAUCCGGCGCGGGCGUAGGAUAUCUGAGAGGAGCUGUCCUUAGUACGAGAGGACCGGGAUGGACGGACCGCUGGUGUAUCAGCUGCAUCGCCAGAUGCAUAAGGCUGGGUAGCCACGUCCGGAAGGGAUAAACGCUGAAGGCAUCUAAGCGUGAAGCCCCCCUCAAGAUGAGAUAUCCCUUACGCAAGUAAGUAAGACCCCUUGAAGAGUACGAGGUUAGAUAGGCACAAGGUGUAAGCACGGUAACGUGUUGAGCUGAUGUGUACUAAUAGGUCGAGGGCUUAUCCAA